rnacentral:rRNA from 1 species
AUUGAACGCUGGCGGCAGGCCUAACACAUGCAAGUCGAGCGAGUGGCGGACGGGUGAGUAAUGUAUGGGAAACUGCCCGAUGGAGGGGGAUAACUACGGGCAACGGUAGCUAAUACCGCAUACCAUCGGAUGUGCCCAUAUGGGAUUAGCUUGUAGGUGGGGUAACGGCUCAACUAGGCGACGCUCCCUAGCUGGUAUGAGAGGAUGACCCGCCACACUGGAACUUAGACACGGUCCAGACUCCUACGGUGGGCAGCAGUGGGGAAUAUUGCACAAUGGGCGCAAGCCUGAUGCAGCCAUGCCGCGUGUAUGAAGAAGGCCUUCGGGUUGUAAAGUACUUUCAGCGAGGAGGCGUUACUCACAGAAGAAGCACCGGCUAACUCCGUGCCAGCCGCCGCGGUAAUAC